CACUGUCAAGAUCACACGGACAGAAAGAUACGAUUUUAUCUGCUUUGAACAAGUGCAGUUUGUUACAGGAUACCCUGAGACGCUGGACUGAGCACUUUUUGUGAAUAGCAGGAGAAUCCACAUCGUUAUCCAAAGGAAGAUUUCUAAUAGGGCACAGAAAAUUGUCUUUCGACAGAGCAACGUAGAAGAGACUUGAUGGAAAUAAUUAAAAGAACAAUUCAUAUGUAAUCUGUACUUCACAGAAUCAGAAAGCC
rnacentral:lncRNA from 1 species